rnacentral:lncRNA from 1 species
CAGCAUGGCGGUGGAAUUAAAUGAACGUUGUGGAACGUCGACGUUUCUGACAAGAUUUUGCAGCAGUUUCACGAUGAAAUUCUCAGUUAAUUAUCACUCUCCGGUAUUGUAGAUACUGGAGUUCACUACCUGCUGUUUGCUUGUGAUCCAACCUCCAAGCUCACCAUCAUAGUACACCACACACCUCUCCAUGUCACCAUGCUGUCUGCUUGGAUGUCAAGGAAUUCCUGCUACAUCAUCACAAGUUUCUGGGGUUGGCAUUGCUUGGUGCCUCCAUUCACUGUCUUCCCUGCUGUAUCCAUUGCUAGCUCAGUGUGAGGAAGGAGGAAUGGAUACUUUGUCUUGGGAACUACAUGAACUGUUGCAAGUCUCGUGGGACAAGGUUGGUGAUGGAAGAAGCCAGUUUGACUGGAGGGCAACUUGACAGGAUGGUUGGCAUCGAUGCUUGACUUCAGUACAGCUAGCAGAUUCCCUGUCAAGGAAGACAGCUGCGCCCAGAUCAUCAAACCAACCCACAAAGUCUCACGGAAGUCAACACUGGAAAAUUUGAAAAGGCACUGAGAUCAGCACCACGGAUCAGACAUCAUGAGACAUGACAUUCAAGUCAUUUGAUGACGACGGACUGCAUCCAGGUUCCCAAUUCAUUCAGUCAGUGGAACAUAUCCUCCACUGGAAGACAGCCCCAGUGAAAUGACAUCUCUAAUGGAACUCAUAGGAGACAGUGAAACAGCAUGGAACAGCAUUAUGCCAGAAGGACUGAUGAACCCAUCUGUUUAGUUUCCUGUCAAUUUCCUUUGGCUGGACUACUGAGUCUCCUCUGAAGCCCUGUGCACUAUACAAGGGCAUGUAAUAGUGUUCACUUGAACACAGCCAAUUUGAUUUUUCGUUGUAACUGUCAUCACUCUUGGUGCAAGACUGUAUGAAGACUGACAUGAAAUAGCUUUUGACAUUGAGCAAUGAACAUGUACACCAAUUCCAAACAGGAAAGAUCAGUGUACCACUGUUGACUUGCGGCUGACUUGGGAUGCUGUGAUAAGAUGCCAGGAACCAAAGAAAGCCUGUGGGUUGGAUGACUGGAGACUACUGACAUGAAAUGGCCUUUGAUAUUGAGCAAUGUACAUGUACACCAAUUCCAAGCAGGAAGGAUCAGUGUACCACUGUUGACCUGAGGCUGACUCAGGAUGCUGUGAUAAGAUGCCAGGAACCAAUUACAUCAGACAUAUACAAUUCUACACGUACAUGUACAUUGAUUGCGAUCCUCAGAGCAGGUCACUGGAACUGACUUCACACAGUGACUUUUUCUGGAUCCAUUUGACUGACUUUUUCUGGAUCCAUUUGACUUCCUACUCUGUCCUCUCAGUGCCACAUCUUGGGAUUCAAACUUGAGGUUAUUUGAGGACUUGUGGACAACGUCAGUGUAUGAACAAUGCAGUGUUAUGGACACUUCUAAAAUGAAGGACUCUGGAACUAUUUUUAUUAUUCAAUGCACAGAGUGUGUGCUGAAAAAAUGUGCAAUCGCAGAGCAUUUAACCAGCCCCCUAGAAUAUGUCUGAUCUCAAGAAAAUUGAAGUUUGAUAAUCACUUGAAAGUAAAAACUCAGAUGCUUUUGAAAAUCUUAAUCAUUUAAAAGAGCGACUGGUAAUUUAUAGAAUAACUGAUAAGCAACUUUUAAACGAAAAAAACUAAUUAACCUGUGAAGCGCAUGUGUGGUGUAGUUGACUACUUACUGCGGCAAGGAGGUAUUAAGCUAAGAGACAAAUCUUCCCAAUUUGUAUUUUGAUACUGCUCCUUGAAAGUACUCAGAAUUCUUGUGGGGGCUGGUUACCUGAAGGGUAUUUAUUACUUGAGUACAUUUGCCUGGUAGUAUGCCUGUUGGGGACUGGGUGCUAGAUUGGUAAACAACACUUUGUUAUCAAUGGUCAACAGUCACCACAGUGUACAAAUGUCGAGAGAAAAGCUCUUCAUACUUUGUGUCAAACUCCGUAGCUGUUGGUUUGGAGUUGGACAUGGCCUGUGUGCUUAUUGAUUUUCAAGUAAAUGCCCUGAUGAUUCUAUGCCGUACUUAUCAAUACUGCAGUGUAUUUCUGGUUUCUGUUGGAUUUAUUUGAUGCUCCUAUGAAGCAUUUCUGAGUCUCCACAAAAACUCACUGAAACCUUAUCAUUUGAAGAUGUUCAAAUUCCUCAAACACUCAGUGUUUACCAAUCUUAGGCCCAGCAUCUUGAGUAUAAUCAGCACUGGCACACAUGCAAUUCAAGUCGUUUUAUAUUUUUGUUUUGAAUUUAAGAAUGCAUAGUUUUUAAUAAUAUAAGGAGCAACAUUAGACUUUGAGAAGAUAGAUUAUUCCUUCCCAAUCUGUAUACUACUGCAGGGCUUGUUAAUUGAGCUUGAAAAAGGAUUUAUACUAAAUGGUCUUUUCAGUCAGACCCAUGGGUCUUUUCAGAGCUGUACUUCUUUUUUAUAUUUGGUCAAUUGAAAAUGCUGUGUCCACAAACUAAAGUCAAUUUAUAUUCUCCAACGACCACAAACUCCAAUCACAUCCAAUUCUGGUUUAUCUCGAUGUGUAGUAAUGACCAAUUUGCUACAGUCACAUACUCU